rnacentral:misc_RNA from 1 species
AACGAGUUCUGAAAGGGGUUGCAGCUGGCUUUCAUUUUUUGGAAGCAUGUGCUCGCCCUGCUCAAUCCACUCUACACCUGUGCACUAACUGUGGGUCUUGUGUGUGGGCCUUCGUCCUUCGCGGGGCGUCGGCUUUAACCCUGGCCUACGUUUUCUUACAAACACUUUAAAAGUAUCGAGAAUGUGUAUUGCGACAUAACGCAUUUAUAU